rnacentral:rRNA from 1 species
AUUGAACGCUGGCGGCAGGCCUAACACAUGCAAGUCGAACGCGUGGCGGACGGGUGAGUAAUGUCUGGGAAACUGCCCGAUGGAGGGGGAGAACUCCUUGAAACCGGAGCUAUUACAGCAUACCAUCGGAUGUGCCCAGAGGGGAUUAGCUAGUAGGUGGGGGAAAGGCUCACCUAGGCGACGCUCCCUAGCUGGUCUGAGAGGAUGACCAGCCACACUGGAACUGAGACACGGUCCAGACUCCUACGGGAGGCAGCAGUGGGGAAUAUUGCACAAUGGGGGCAAGCCUGAUGCAGCCAUGCCGCGUGUAUGAAGAAGGCCUUCGGGUUGUAAAGUACUUUCAGCGGGGAGGCGUUACCCGCAGAAGAAGCACCGGCUAACUCCGUGCCAGCAGCCGCGGUAAUAC